CUAUAUAGUGCACUACUUUAGACCAGAGCCCUAUUCCCUAUAUAGUACACUACUAUAGACCAGAGCCCUAUUCCCUAUAUAGUGCACUACUUUAGACCAGAGCCCUAUUCCCUAUAUAGUGCACUACUUUAGACCAGAGCCCUAUUCCCUAUAUAGUACACUACUUUAUACUAUAUAUUAUAUAGUUCUAGAAGGUUCUUUGUGAUUGACCCCAACCCUGUCCUCUGUUUACAGUAAUAGUUCUAGAAGGUUCUUUGUGUUUGACCCCAACCCUGUCCUCUGUUUACAGUAAUAGUUCUAGAAGGUUCUUUGUGUUUGACCCCAACCCUGUCCUCUGUUUACAGUAAUAGUUCUGGAAGGUUCUUUGUGUUUGACCCUAACCCUGUCCUCUGUUUACAGUAAUAGUUCUAGAAGGUUCUUUGUGUUUGACCCCAACCCUGUCCUCUGUUUACAGUAAUAGUUCUAGAAGGUUCUUUGUGUUUGACCCCAACCCUGUCCUCUGUUUACUGUAAUAGUUCUAGAAGGUUCUUUGUGUUUGACCCCAACCCUGUCCUCUGUUUACUGUAAUAGUUCUAGAAGGUUCUUUGUGUUUGACCCUAACCCUGUCCUCUGUUUACAGUAAUAGUUCUAGAAGGUUCUUUGUGAUUGACCCCAACCCUGUCCUCUGUUUACAGUAAUAGUUCUAGAAGGUUCUUUGUGUUUGACCCCAACCCUGUCCUCUGUUUACAGUAAUAGUUCUAGAAGGUUCUUUGUGAUUGACCCCAACCCUGUCCUCUGUUUACAGUAAUAGUUCUAGAAGGUUCUUUGUGAUUGACCCCAACCCUGUCCUCUGUUUACAGUAAUAGUUCUAGAAGGUUCUUUGUGAUUGACCCCAACCCUGUCCUCUGUUUACAGUAAUAGUUCUAGAAGGUUCUUUGUGAUUGACCCCAACCCUGUCCUCUGUUUACAGUAAUAGUUCUAGAAGGUUCUUUGUGAUUGACCCCAACCCUGUCCUCUGUUUACAGUAAUAGUUCUAGAAGGUUCUUUGUGAUUGACCCCAACCCUGUCCUCUGUUUACAGUAAUAGUUCUAGAAGGUUCUUUGUG